rnacentral:rRNA from 1 species
CUUUGACCUCAAAUCAGGUAGGAUUACCCGCUGAACUUAAGCAUAUCAAUAAGCGGAGGA